GACGAACGCUGGCGGCGUGCUUAACACAUGCAAGUCGAACGGAAAGGCCCUGCUUUUGUGGGGUGCUCGAGUGGCGAACGGGUGAGUAACACGUGAGUAACCUGCCCUUGACUUUGGGAUAACUUCUGGAAACUGGGGCUAAUACCGGAUAGGAGCUCCUGCUGCAUGGUGGGGGUUGGAAAGUUUCGGCGGUUGGGGAUUGACUCGCGGCUUAUCAGCUUGUUGGUUGGGUAGUGGCUUACCAAGGCUUUGACGGGUAGCCGGCCUGAGAGGGUGACCGGCAACAAUGGGACUGAGAUACGGCACAGAGUCCUACGGGAGGCAGCAGUGGGGAAUAUUGCAAAAUGGGCGGAAGCCUGAUGCAGCAACGCCGCGUGCGGGAUGACGGCCUUCGGGUUGUAAACCGCUUUCGCCUGUGACGAAGAGUGAGUGACGGUAAUGGGUAAAGAAGCACCGGCUAACUACGUG
rnacentral:rRNA from 1 species